CAUGUCUAACAGAGGGUGUAAAGUAAAAGAUACAUGGUAAAGAAGAGGAGUUAUGAAAGAGGAAGAUUUUUAUGUUCUUUCACUGCUUUUGUUCGGUCACCCUCAAAUUUCAGAAUACUAGGGUUUUGCAAUCAACGGAGCUAAGUUAGGAAGAUUGUGGAGAUCGUUAUGCUUGUUGAUUUGAUGAUGGGUUGGAGGAAUUUCUCUGUUCCGUUUGAAGAAAUUUGAUUUGAGGUAUUUUGUUAUAAUUUCAUACUCGAAUUGGAAGAUGUUUGAAGAAAUCACUUUCAUUCUGAACUGAACAUGGAGAUUCAUAUCAAUUUAUGGUGGUCGGUGAUAUGCUUAAAAGUGCCGGACUAUAUUUGAAAAAUGCAACCACUUGAACUGUGUCUUGGUGUCACUCUUACUAACACAGUUAAGAGAAUAGUGGUCUAGUGGAGACCUUGCUAAAUUGAACUGUAUAUAUAGAUUACUGUUGUAUUGGAUGACCAAGUGAUCUUGACUUGGUUCUUUUCAUCUUCUUUUAUAAAUAAAUUAAUAUUAUAUUUGUGAGUUAACUUGGAUUGUAACUUGAACCAUGGAGCGUUGUAUGAGUGGGAUCAUGAUUAAUGUGAAAGUACUAGUCACGUUUUAUCAAUAGGCAAGCAAAUUAAAUCCAUUUUUCCAUUGAGUUUCUA